GCAGCAGUGGGGAAUCUUGGACAAUGGGGGAAACCCUGAUCCAGCGACGCCGCGUGAUCGAUGAAGGCCUUCGGGUUGUAAAGAUCUUUCAGCGGGGACUAUGAUGAAGGUACCCGCAGAAGCAGGAGCGGCUAACUACGUGCCAGCAGCCGCGGUAAUACGUAGGCUCCAAGCGUUGUUCGGAAUUACUGGGCGUAAAGCGAGUGUAGGCGGCUCGCCAAGUCGAUUGUGAAAUCUCCCGGCUCAACUGGGAGGCUGCGGUCGAUACUGGCGAGCUAGAGUGCGGAAGAGGAAGGUAGAAUUCCUGGUGUAGCGGUGGAAUGCGUAGAUAUCAGGAGGAAUMCCGGUGGUGAAGACGGCCUUCUGGACCGCAACUGACGCUGAGACUCGAAAGCGUGGGGAGCAAACAGGAUUAGAUACCCUGGUAGUCCACGCCCUAAACGAUGCAUACUUGGUGUGGGCUCUUCACCGAGUCCGUGCCGGAGCUAACGCG
rnacentral:rRNA from 1 species